rnacentral:misc_RNA from 1 species
CUCGUGCCGUGCAACCCCCCUCAUCACAGCCCACACGGGUCAAACACGGAACCAGUAACAAGCAGGCGAAAGACAACGAAGGCCCCGUACGAUUCGUACCCCCCCCCCUCGCAGCAACCGCACGUAGAAAGCAGGGGGAGGGGGAUCGAGCACAAAGUGUGUGCGCAAAUGGCCAUAUAGCCCGCUGCAAGUCGAGAACACGAGUGCCCCUCUGAAUUGGUGGCAUCUGUCCUUCUCCUCCAAGCACAUUGUGUGUGUGUGUGUGUGUACGCAUCCGCAGGGGAGCGGAGAGAGAGCUGACCGGUGGCGUGUGCUUCGCGCGCACAGGCGCACCUAUACAUAGAACAGUCAACUCUAGUUACAUAGACGGCGCGUCGUCACUCGCACUUCACCGUGUUCUCCGCGUGCGCGUGCGCGAUCGGAGCCAAAAGGGAAGCCCCUUCCGGCCGCUUUUCUUUCACGCAGUGAUAUUGUGUCAUGCCUCGCAGGAAGGCGUCGAGAAAGGCAGCUUCCACUGUAGCUGCCGCGUCGCAUGACAGACCCGUCUCCUCCCACCCCGGUGAGCCGGCUGCCUUCCAGCUGGCUGUGGUCAACUCUUGCCUAUGCAACGAAGACGUGCGACUCCCUCGGCUGCCGACGCCGGCGCUGCUGACCCCGUUUUAUGCCCAAUACGAAUCGACCGCCGCUGCAGCCUCGCUGCGCACAACGUCUCCGUGGAAAAGCGACUACUGGUGCACGAAGGUGGCGCACGUGGCGCUUGGCCGUCACUCGGCCCUUCCAGCCGUCUACAGGCUGCGGCACGAGUGUGCCGGGCGGCUUCAUGCCCGCGUCGUGUACGUGCAAGCAGCAGCCGUGCACCGGCAGCUCUACAAAGCCUACCCACCCCUGCCACGGAGCAAGACGCAUGCGACAACGGUUGGCGAGGUUGGGGACGAUGACGACGUGGUAAUAGUUGAGCCGACGACGCGAGGCGAUGUUGUAGCAGGUCCCGCUGGCCCGCCUCCGCCGACUGCCUUCAAGGCCUCGUACUACCUCCUCAUCAACCACAGCGAGAAUCCAAUCUUUGUGGGCCCAGACCGGGUGCCGCAGGGCCGUAGCGUGGUGCUUCGAGAGGGCGACGUGCUAAGCUUCCUCGAGUGUGCAUUCGACGAAGAUAGCGGCGUUCUCGACGAAGCUGGCGUCGCCGAUGGUGGGGGUGGCGCGGAGGGGCAUUGCAAGGGCACAUCAAUCGACGCGGAAGCAGUGGAGUGUGCUGCAACGACGGUGGAACAAGUUCAACAGCUCGCGGCGGAGUCCUUGUGGCGAUGCGUCGACACAUCUACAGCAGGAUCCGCAUCUCGGUCAUCGUCGUCGUCUUUCACAGCCCACCAAGUGCGUGUACCUCACCGCAUCGUGGCAACACGUCGUUUCUACGAAGUGCCGCACGUAGUUCAGGAGUACAUGCGUUGGUGGCACCGUCACACAACGCAGCUUUUUGAGCAGCGCCACGUGAACGGCAGACACACCGCAUCACCCGCGAACGAGCCGAUGGGCGCUACCUUUUCUUGGAUGGUGUCCGGCAACCACCUCGUACACGCGCCGAGUAUCGCUAACAGCGGCAUCGGAUUUGUAGCGCCGGUUUGUGCCAAAGCGGAGGGUGCCUAUGACAUCUCAGCCGCGUCGGCGGGGCAGCUCUCCUCCCCUCCUCCUCUCUGCUCCCAACGCAGGGGGAGUCGCAGCCCGUCUCCGCUGCCCCGUAUGCAGCAACGGCAGCAGCGCCGUUUUUCCGAGGACCUCUUAAAGACCCCGGCUGUCGUCACGGCUCUAAGUCAGUGGCUGAAGGAUACGGAGGAUAUGGAGGAGGUGACGGAUGAGGUGCACUCGCCACUGGCAGCGCGGCUGCUGCUGGACCGCGCAUGGCUCUGGCGCCUUGUUCGCCGCCACCAUCGGCAGCAAGCGACGCCUCAGCCGCAGUCCUCGAGUCCCGCCGCACGCGACGCGUUCAGUUCUUCGCUGAAGCUGGAAGACAAAACGACGACGACGACCACCGCUGGGCUGGCGUGCGCCGCGACGGUGAAAAAGCGGGAAGUCGUGGAACCCGGCAGUGUGCCCCCGCAGCUUGGCGGCUCCCCUUCCCCACAGAGCUCAUCUGACGACGUGGCCGAGCGCUUUCGCAUCUCUGUCCCAACUGUGCUUGGCGAUCCCCUCGCCACCGGUCACGGUGCGUCGCUGGCGCUCACCACCACGCCGUCACGUGCGGCUAGCGUGGUGCAAGCAGUGCUCGAGGAGCUGCGGCAGAGUCACGGCAAAAAGAAGAGCCCCGCCAGCGAGCAGGGAGCACACGCUCUACUGCCUCCGUUGUUUGGGAACGAGCCCAAGGCGGGCACUGAAGUUGCUCGCACUGCACCAGAUGUGCGCCGGACUCUCUGCCUGGACGCCGAGCCGAUCCACGUGUACGCGAACAGCAACACACACAGUGCGGCGAGGCCUGUGAGCGGAGAGGCAUCACAGUGGCCGCUAAAGCGUCUAUCUUCUCCGGCGGUGUCUGUCGGGAUGCCGACGUGCGUGCCAGCUGUGCGCAUCAGACCGGCAAUGCUCCCGGUCUACGUCUUCACUCGCCGAAGCCCAAGCCCCGACGCGUACACGCGCGAGCAGAGCUCCUUCACACAUGCGCGCUCCCUCUCCGCUCCAACAUUGAUAGGUCACGCUAGAGGCGGUGGGACGUCGGGGUCUACGUCGGGGCUCGGCCUCGCCAAGCAGUUUGUGUACUACUACUACGAGACAGACGACUGCCCCCCUGGCGCCGCUGCCGGCGCCGUCGAGGAUCAUCAGUCACGAUCACGAGGAGGCACGCGGGGACAAGGUGGUCGUUGGCGGAACGGUCAGCAGAGGAAGACCACCGGUGGCGGCGCAGCGAGUGAUCCUUCGCCCGCGUUGGUCGAGCCGUCGUCGCCGAUACCCACAACAGCGGCGCUGCCUCCGCAUGAGUCACACGCAGAUUCGAGCGCGCACGAAGACAGCUUCCUCUGGAUCGAUGAGUCAGAGAAGGCUGAGAAGGUGCCGUGUGCUUCCACGACACGAAAACGACGGCCGGGCAAGAAGACCUCAGCUACGCGCAAGAGACGCGCCUCUGAGACGUUACCGCCGGCGGCGGAGACGAAAGCGGCCCGUGCCGAUGGCACCUCCGUUGCAUUCGAAGCGCCGCCGCCAACGCCGACUGCGAAGUCGAAGCCAUCACGGCACGCCAAGACAACUCCACGCAUCAGCUCGAGGUAGGCAACGCCGUUAUGAUGGGGAGUUCAUCUGGCAAGGUGCAAAAGAGGGGUGCGAUACUUCGGGCCCUCUUCCACCUCUCCUUCACAGAAACCCCUUGAGGACACACAUGGACAACAACAAAAUCUGAACAGCAGGGCAGACUAGAGUAGCAGCACGGAACGAGCCCCCGAGAAGUCGUGAUGCAGCCGAGCCGAGUCACGUGGGCGUCCGUUGCUCUUGCAUGCGUGUCUCUGUGUCUGUGCGCCGGCACAAGGAUCUCUCG